rnacentral:lncRNA from 1 species
UUCCUUUUGCUGUUAUAUAAAAAUUGCUUUCUCUCAUGAGUCAAUAUCCAUUCUAUGAAAUUCUAGCGUUAGAGAGAGGUGAAAGUUUACACUUUGUAUACCAUGUUUGUUUGAUUUAAUAGCAGUGAUGACCCUUGAAAGAUUGCUCUAUAAAACAAUGUCCGGUCAUCUUUACAACUCAUUUUCACAAUCCUUCGCCGGCCCGCUGAAGAACUCUUUGAAGCUCAUCUGCCAUCCCUUGUAAGAGAACUGGUUUUCGGAUCAUUCCAUUCAUUCCCAUCUGCAGGCAUCUCUCCCAAACAUUAUCCUCAGCACUGGAAGUCACAGCUAUAAUCAAUGGCCAACUCCGACUCCGACUUCGGAUCUUCCGGAUUCGCGUUGCCACUUCGAACCCAUCCAUUUCUGGCAUUUGAAUAUCUAAGACAACUAGUCUGAAAGAGUUUCUGGCAUUUGAAUAUCUAAGACAACUAGUUUUGAAUGAUUAUUUAUCCUUAAAAGAUUUACACUUGAAAUACUUUUAUAAUGACGUGUUAAUUUAAUUGAUGAACUUAGUUCUUUUAUUCUUAUAAUUAAUAUCUUCAUAAUAAUUAACACAAUAAUAAAGUCAGUUGAGUUGCAUAAUAAUUCUAAAUCUUUCAUAUGAUAUUUAUAUUAAAAUACACAUCAAUUUAUCAAAACUCAUUUCAAUUAUAUAUAUAUAUAUAUAAUAAGUAUGUUGAUUAAAUUAUACUUAAUCAUGUCUAGACAUUUAAAUUAUUGCUACACACACACAUAAAAGUUGUAUAAACUCAUUAAGUCAAAUAUGUGAAACAAGUUUUAAUAUUAUACUCUAGUUUCAAAGAAGAGAAAAUACUAAAAAAGAGAAAGUAUAACUUAUGGGAUUUAAAUCCAUACCCUCUUCCAACUCCAAGCAUCUCGUUAACAAUUAAUUACAAAUAAAUUUGAUAUAAAAUGACAAUUAAUAUAUGUACAUUGUAAAUUAAGAGACCUCAAUUAAAUAAUUAAUCCAUAAUUAUAAUGAACUAAGAAACCUUAGUUAAAUAAUUUUAAUAAUCUACUCUGUCAAUACAAGAGAUGCAAAAAAUAGUGAUUUUGCAUGAACAUUAAUUUAUUUAUUUAUAAUAAAAAAAUAUUUAAUUGAUUAAAUUAAAAAAUUCAAACAUUUAUUUUGAACAUAUUUGAACACAUUCAUAUCAAAACCCCUAAAUUAUCAUAAACUCUAAUAUCUUUAAUAACUAAUUAUAAAAAAAUAAUAAAAAAAUAAAAUUAAAUAAUGAACUAAAUAAAAAAGAUAAAAAAAAAAAAUCUUACCUAAAACAUAAAGUAAAAGAAGUUACUGGACUUGAAAAAAAAUUUAUGUAAAAAUAAGAGGAGGCAACAACAACUUAAAAGGAAAAAAAAGAAAAAAAACUCUCUGUUAAUCAGUAAAAAAAAAAAAAGGAAAAACUUUAAGUAAAUGAGCCGGAAAUAUAUAUAUUAUAUAUUAUAUUAAAAUAUAAUUAAACAAUAACUCCACUUUUCAUGUAUCAAACCCUCCCCAAAUUAUUAUAUUGAUAUCCUAAUAUAAUAAACAUUUAAAAAAAAAUUAAGGGGGCAAUUGCCCCCUUUUGCACCCAUGUGGCUCCGCCACUGACUGUCCAAGACAGAUCGAGGACCUUGAGCCCAUGCAAUUGCUUGAAAAAUGAAUCCGCAACAAAUCUCAACCAUUUAUUAUCACGUAGAAAUAGAGUUGAUAGAUAGGGACACCGUGGUGAAUAGCUGGAAGGAAUUUCUUUGAUCUUGUUUUGCAUUAGUGAGACUCUUGUGAGAUUCUCCGUCCACUCCUCUACAUCUGGCAACUCUUUCAAUUGCGCACCUGCUUUAACCAUGACUUGAGAGUUGUCUUGUAGAAUUUGGAUGGCCAUGUCCCUAAUCAAGUCAUGCAUCUUGACACGUCUACUACCAUCACCAUCCAUUUUAGCAUUUUCCAAUAGGCAAACAUUUUCAAGUCUAUUAAGCAUCGUGUGGCCCUCAUCAAAUGCAUCUCCCCUGCUCCUCAUUCCUUUAAUUAUUCCCUCAUCGAUCAAAUAAUUAACCUAUCAACUCCUUCCUUUCAAUCUCAUGAUCUACAGGAAAUAAUGCACAGUACAAGAGACAUUGCUUUAGUGCUGAUUCACCUAACCGAUCAUAACUAAACCUCAAUAACUUGAAUACCUUCUCAUCCAUGUCCCUAAAUUCUGAUUCUCUCAAUUUCUUCAAUGUAUUCCUCCAAUCAUGUAGAUCAUCCACUCCCCUCAAGCUUCCUGCCAUUGUAAUAAUUCCCAACGGCAAACCAUCACAUUCUCUAGCAAUAGCUUUUGCAAUUCGUUCCACUUCAGGUAAAAGUGUGAUGUCAUGUCCAAGUUUCUUCAUGAAUAAAGUCCAAGCUUCUCCCUCAAAAGUGACUUCACUUUGAUUUUGGGGUGGCAAGCCAUCUGAUGACAAACUAUUUUUAAUCGAGUUAUCAUAAUCAGCUUGCAUCCUUUCAACGGGACAAGAAUUCCCACUUCCUCAAGCUCAAAAUUGUUCCACAAAUCAUCUAAAAUGAGAAUCCAUUUUUGUUUCUUCUUUAGUUCUUCACACAAUUUAGCAGCUCUAUGCAGAUCAUCAUCUUUGCUUGAAAGGAUUAGAUCAAGACGUGUAGCAAUAAGAUUCUGCAAUCUAUUAAUGCUGAAAUCUUGAGAUACAAUCACCCACCAAACAUGAUCACAAAUAUCUCGUCUUUGUAGAAGCUCAUUAUGGACAUGUUUUAGUAUUGUUGUUUUACCAACUCUUGAGAUACAAUCACCCACCAAACAAACAAAUAAUAAAAUAUUUUUGAACACUUAUCGGAACAAGAGGGAACUUCACUGCAGUAGAAAACUUCAACGCUUGAUUUGCUAUCCAAUCUGUACACCAGCUGGAUAGCAAUUUCUUUUCAUAACAUUUACCAGUGUAAAAACUUUUUACUUAUUUUUAGUUUUAAUAUCAAAUUCAGUCUUGAAUAUAAUUCUAAUAUCAAAUUUUACCUUAAAAAUUUCACUUAUUUUUAAUCAAUUAAAUUGAACAAAAUCACCUCUACAUUGAAUUGUUUUUUCUUCUUAGACCACAAGAGCUCCAUAACAAGCUUAUUGAAAUAAAUUAUCAAAUGAAAUUAAAAACAAAAAUGCUUUAUAAAAAAAAACAGUAAGACAUCUACCUUGUUUUUCACAAAAUUUCUAAGAAUAAAAAUAUUUUAUUAGAUGUCUUAGCUGAAUUCUAAACCAGCCUAUAAUAAAAUAAACAAAAACAAAUUAAAAAAAAAAAAAAACAGGCAAAACACCUUAGAUCACGUACUAUUGUAGUUUACAAUGAAAUAGGUGUGGAUAUAUAUAGUGAUUCUCCCAAGUCUCUUAGCUUUUCUCUUAAUGAAAAUUAAUAACCUUAUAAUAUCUUCCUAUUCGUAAGCUAUCUAUAAUUUGAUGUCAUGAGUGUUUUUCUUGAAGUUAUUCUAUUUAAUGUCAUGAGUGUUCUAUUGAGGAAAAAAAAACUGUAUUUAAUGUCAUGAGAUUUAGUAAUCAAAAUAUUUUUUUAUUUUUAAUAUUAAUAUAUUAAAAAAUAUUAAUUUAAUAUUUUUUUUCAAAAUAAACAUAUUUUUAAAUGCACUCAAACAUAAUUCUGAGUACAAAAACAAAUUAUGUUUUGAUUACGCGCAUAACAAUCAUAGCAGUAAGUAGCAUGAUCCUUUCCAAUUGAGUAAAUUAUAGGACUUUUUUGGCAGCCUUAUAUUAAGUAAAUUAAGAAUUAUUCUUUCCAAUUGAGUAAAUUAAGUACCAGGUAUUCAAUCUUCACAAACUUUAAUAUGUAUUAAGUCAUAUUUGUUUAAUUAGAUUUAUCAAGUUUGCUUAACUAAGAUGGAAUAUUUAUGAAUAUUUUAAUCUAUAGUGUUUUCUCUCCUGGUACAUAGUAAAAGCCUGGGUAGUUUUUUUUUUUUUAAUUUUAAUAAUAAUUCUGUUCUUUCUAACCCAAGAACGAACAAAAAAAGAAGAAGAGAAAUCACAGAUCAGAGAAGAAUAUAUGGCUUAGAAAAAUAAUAAAGUUGCAGUAUACAUAAAUCUAGUUCGCCCUGGUUAGAUGCGGAUAGAAAAUAAGUAAGUAUGUGGUUAUGGUUGUUUUUUAAAAUAUUUUUUAUAUAAAAAUAUAUUAAAAUGAUGUUUGAUUUAAAAAUAAUUUUGAUUUUUUUGAUACCAUAAAAAAAAUAUAUGUUGUUAAUUUUUAAAAGUGUGGUUUGUAUUUUUAAAAAAUUAUUUUUUAAUAAAAAUUCACUAUAUCUCCUAGCCAAAUACAUAUAUUAUAUUAUAAGAUAUAGAAAGUUAACAUGUGGACCCGCCUUAAUGUUGACACUUCGAAGAAGCUGCCAAGAAAAUGUAAACACAUGGAAGUUUCUAAAAAGAAUAGCAUAUUUCUGCAUGCUGUGAAUUUUUUAAAAAACAUUUUUAUUUAAAAAUAUAUUAAAAUAAUUUGUUUAAAUUAUAUAUUUUUUUAUCAACACAUCAAAAUAAUUUAAAAAUAUUAAAAAAUUAAAAUAUUUAAAAAAUAGGUUGUAACUGUAAAGAUAAACCAGUUUUGACAAUGCUAGAUUAAGUGUGCAAAUGAGAGUGAGGCUCCAAAUCUAAUUACGUAGCAAUUACUAAUUGGGAUAAAAAUAAAUUAAAAGACAAAUUACCAAUAUUCGCUUGCAGGUGUGUUUGGUAGAUCUUAUGCUUCUGCCUUUGAGUGUGUAUAUUAGCUUUACCAUGAAAUUUUUGUGAGACAAAUUAUAGUGAAUGUUUUUCUAUUUUACCAAUAUACCCAUGGUGUUUAUAUCAGAGUGAUGCUACAUGCUGAGGUGGAUAUUAGCAACAGAGGAAAGCAUACAAAAGUUACCAAAAAAAAAAAUUGAUAGCAAAGGCGAAAGCAUAUCAAGCUAACAAAAUCAACCCCACCAAUUCUCAAAUAUUCAGAUUUUAAAAAAAGCACAAUAUUUUAUUUGGUUUCAUUACAAAUUCAAUAUUUUUUUUAAGGUCAAUAUUUAGAAAUAAAUAAAUAAAUAAAUAAAAGCUGCCCAUCAAUAUUUAAUUUAAAUAACCUCAAAGACUACUAAUUUAACUUUCGUUAUUAAAAGGGCGCGCGUAUGUUGUUGGUCCCUGCCUAGUUGAUGGGGCAAAUUAAGACUAGGUCUUCAAUCUUCAUAAACUUACAUAUGUAUUAAGUUAGAUUUGUGUAAUUAGAUUUAUCUAGUUUGCUUAACAAACUUUCUAUGUUGUAUUAAUUUAAUUAUCACAAUUUCUAUGACAAUAACUAAAUUUAAUGUACUGCUCAUGUUCAUGUGUUGGGCUUUAUGCUUUCCGUUCUUCUUUGGAUUUUUCUUUGAAGUAUGGAAUUGGCAAUCCCAUUUCAAACCGACCCAAAUCCACCCAUUGUACAAGUAAUUUCAAUAUUAAUUAAUAAGAAUAUCCUUGUUUAUUUAAAGGACUAUUUUCAUCAUUCAUAUCCAAAAUAAUGAUGUUUUGCACAUAAGUUUUAACAAAAAUAAUUGAAAGAAUGAUAUAUUAUUGAAUAAGAGGAAAUUUAAGGUUACAAUCUAUUAGUAUUCUUACAACCAUAUCUUGUCAAACGUUACAAAGGGACGAAGGACAUCCUUUGCAUUAGGAUGCUCCCACUCCACUACUGUCUCCCACCAUUCUUCUGGAUGUACCUUGAUUUUUUUAAGAGAAGGGGGAGGAGAUGGCUGGCCAUUUUCAAGCAACGGAAGACAAAUUGCCAUCCUCUUCAGCUUCUCACAAUACUUUACGGUAAUAUCUUCGAGAGAAUUGCAAAUCAGUUUUGCACUACAAAUGCUUUUUAGUUCCGGUAAUGAAUGCAAUGUCAGAGUUCUUAACUUUGGGAGUGUUAAUUCCGUGAUGGAAUUGGAGGUGCUGCUUUCUUCAUCUGUUGUUCCUAUUAUCUCCUCCAUUUUCUUACAUGAUGUCACUUCAAUCCUUUCCAGGUUUACGAGGUUUGGCAGCAACACAAGUGGAACAACUUCUUCAUACUUCACAUCCAAACAAUAAAACUUUUAAGACCAGAAAACAUACCACUAUAUGAUGGCAAUGGUGGUGGAGCAGAGCAGAACCAAGAAGAUGAAACCAAGCUCUCCAUGCUAUCGCAAAUCCCAAUGCUGAUUUCCUCCAGUUCAGUUGCAUUCUCUAAUGACAAAACAUCACAUAAACUUCUUGCAUCGAUGCAUUCACAAACCAGUCCUUGAAUGCCAUUUAAGAACUUGACCUGAAAAUCUCUAUCUCCGUUGAUACUCAAAUUACCCAACCCAACUGUUUUACUUGGACACUUUUUAGUGACAUAAAAGAAUUUCAGAUUUCCUACUGAAAUUCUGUAUGUGUUUAAUGAUUGGAUCCCAUCCUGAGAUAUGAGAUACUCCACGAAGUCAGAGAAACCUUCGAAAUGGCAUUCCAAAGUUUCCAAAUUCCUCAAGGAUCCUACUUCCUUUCCUUUAACUGUUAUCGGAGCAUAACUGGUCCCCACAAGCUCUUCUAGUACAAAGACUUGCAGGUGAGAGAGUUUUGGUAAUAUCCCACUAGGAAACUCCUUUCCACCACAUCCAUUCAUUCUAAGAUACCUCAGGUUGGUUAGGCAUUCCAUUCCUUGCGGCAUCUUUUCAAGUGCAGUACGAGAGAGAUCCAACCUCUUCAGUUCCCUGAGCUUCUUUAGUGAUGGAGCAUGACUUAAGUUUUCACAAUAAUUGAGCAAUAAUGCUGUAAGACUCACCAAAUCAGAGACAGAGUCUGGCAAAUUUUUAAUACCUGUGCAAGACAGAUCGAGGACCUUGAGCCUAUGCAAUAGCUUGAAAAAUGAAUCCGCAAUAAAUCCCAAAAGAUGAUUUUCACAUAGCAAUAGAGUUGAUAGAUAAGGACACCUGGGUGAAUAGCUGGAAGGAAUUUCUUUAAUUUGGUUUUGCAUUAGUGAGACUCUUGUGAGAUUCUCUGUCCACUCCUCUGCAUCUGGCAAUUCUUUUAAUUGCGCACCUGCUUUAACCAUGACUUGAGAGUUGUCUUGCAGUAUUUGGAUGGCCAUGUCCCUAAUCAAGUCAUGCAUCUUGACACAUCUACUACCAACAUACUUCAUUUUAACACUUUCCAAUAGGCAGACAUUUUCAAGUCUAUUAAGCAUCGUGUGACCCUCGUCAAAUGUUGAUUGCCUACUUCUCAUUCCUUUAAUUAUUCCCUCAUCGAUCAAAUAACCUAUCAACUCCUCCCUUUCAAUCCAAUGAUCUUCAGGAAAUAAUGCACAGUAUAAGAGACAUUGUUGUAGUGUUACAUCACGUAACCGAUUAUAACUAACCCUCAAUACUUGGAAUACCUUCUCAACCAUGUCCCUAAAUUCUGAUUCGCUCAAUUUCUUCAAUGUAUUUCUCCACUCAUGUAGGUCAUCCACUCCCCUCAAGCUUCCUGCCACUGUAAUAAUUCCCAAUGGCAAACCAGCACAUUCCUUUGCAACAGCUUUCGCAAUUCGUUCCACUUCUGGUGAAAGCUAUGCACGUCCAAGUUUCUCCAUGAACAAAGUCCAAGCUUCUCCCUCAAAAGUGGCUUCCUUGAUUUUGCGGUGGCAAGCCAUCUGAUGACAAACCGUUUCUGAUCGAGUUGUCAUAAUCAGCUUGCAUCCUUUCAACGGGACAGGAAUUCCCACUUUGUGUAGCUCAAAAUUGUUCCACAAAUCAUCUAAAAUGAGAAUCCAUUUUUGUUUCUUCCUUAGUUCUUCUGACAAUUUGGCAGCUCUAUGCAAUCAUCAUCUUCGCUUGAAAGGUCUAGAUCAAGAGUUUAGCAAUAAGAUUCUGCAAUCUAUUAAUGCUGAAAUCUUGAGAUACAGUCACCCACCAAACAUGAUCACAAAUAUCUGUCUUUGUAGAAGCUCAUUAUGGAUAUGUUGCAGUAUUGUUGUUUUACCAACUCCCCCCAUCCCAUAAAUGCCAAUGGUUGGAACUUCAUCAUCCAUUAACAAAGACCAUAUCACCUUCUUAUUCUCUUCAAAUGCUCGACCCACUGGCUUUAUAGAGCUAGUAGGUAAUGGAACUCCUCUAGUCUCACUUGUGUUGUAUUUAAGGCUUAUAGAAGAUCUAGCUCCAGCGUCAGGCCGCACUGAUCUUCCACUAUUCUCCACUGGUUCUGUCCUCACUCUAACCAUGUUCUGCACAUCAUACAUAACGACAUCAUUGUUUACUGAUGGAGCAAAUAGUUGGGCAUAAUAUCUUCCAUGAUCAAGACACAAUGGAUCUGUUGGUUGGGAUGAAUCUCCUCGAGGCUCAUGAGCUUGAUUAAUUGAUGGCCUCUCACAAGAGCUACCUCUCUCCAGAUGCUGCACUUGUUCUGUUCUCGCUACAGUUUCAAAUCCAUCAUGCAGACGCUCCACAUCCUCAUCUUCCUGCAUUAAAUAGGUAGAGAUUUCAUUCAGCUGCUGCUCCUUCGAAAGGGCAGAGUGUAUCUGAACCCAAGUGCCAUCAACAAAUUGAUCCACUACAUCUGUUCCUUGUGUUGCUUCUCCUCUAUUCUCAUGAGCAUCAACUCUGAGUCUCCAAGGAGAGUCACUUCUGUCAACAUGCUGAAAAGAUCCUUCACCAGUGUAUUCCAUGUCAUUUGCCGCUUCUAAACGCGAAUGAUUUCUCUCAGGCCCAACACCUUGUUCCAUGCCUUGAACUCCCGCUUGCAUCCUUCCAGCAUCAUUAACAUUGCUUAAAUUUGCUAUGCCUUUAUGCCUUUUGUUGCCACCAUGCAUAGCUAGAAAGGCUGCUUCUUGAACUUCUUGAGGCACCUGACCACAAAUGCCAACACCAUGCCCUCUAUCUCCCGAUAAAUGCCAUUUGAUCCUCGAAAUGGAAGUACCAUUGGCAAAUAAAUGCCCACAAAACUUACACUUCAUGCUUCCGUCAUUCAUAUCUUCAACUUCAUUCCAAAACGGAUCAUCUGAUCUACCCAUUUUGUCCUAUAGAUAAAAAGGGUCAAAAUAUUGAAUAAAAAUUAAUGGAAGUACAUUAAUUGGAAAAGGAAGGUUGAAACUAAAAUAAUAAGUUACAAACAGCAAAGAAAGUAAGAAGAAAAAACAAUGAAUUCAAGGUUAACUUGGGGUCAAUUUAUUAUGAACUCCUUAAGGCAUGGAUUGUUACAACUGAGAAAGAUCAAAUUAUUUAUUUUUGGAAACUGUUGAUGAUCCUAACUCCAAAGUUUCUCAUUAGAAUUUCUACAACUUGUGUUUUCCUUGAAAGAUUCAAACCAGAGUUACAUGUGAAAAACAAAAUGAAGAAGAUGGAUUAUAAAUAAUUUACCUGGAUUCAAGUUGUGCUUCAAGUGCUGGUUUGCUUAAGCAGUAUUCAGCAAAAAAGACAAGAACAGAGAAGAAUAUACGGUUUAAAAAUAAGAAGGAAGUUGCAAGAUGUUGAGCUCCAGAUGAUUCGAUUCAAUCACAAAAGGAAGCACUGAUCAUCAGAAAGGCUUAAGAAAUUUGAUGAGGGAAAUCGGGAAAUCAAUGGUAUAAUGAGAUGAGAUUUGGAGGAGAAUGUUAUAGCAGCGAAGAUUAUUGUAUUGUUUGAGAAGAAGGAAGUUGCUAGGAAGGAAGCCACAAACUUUACCUACCAAAGAUUAUAUUAUAAGAUAUGGCAAGUUGCUGGACACCUCAAAUUUGCAUUGCUUUUGUCUAGCGAUGCAUAUAAUUAAAAACUUCAACAAAAGAAUCAGAAGCUAAUUGCUGGCCGAGUUAACGUGUAGACCCACCUUAUUGUUGAAACUUUGAAAAAGCUGACCUGAAAAUGUAAGAGCCUGAAGCUUAGCUUCAAGAACUGUAAGUACUAUGCUAUGAAUGAUGCCUCUCACUCCUCCCCCAUCAAUUUUAUCUAAAUGCUGUUUAUUGCACGCUGCUAGUUGGGAUAUACAGAACUCAGUUCAACCCAGCAAGUCGCUGCAUCAGAGUUAAAACUCCAUAGCAGUCAGCACAAUCUAUGAAGAUAAAAUUGAAAACAAAACAAUCAAUGACUAAAAUUAAAAAAAUGCAUCUAAGGCUUAGAAAAAACUGAGAUAAAACACUAUUUUUCUCUCUUGAUACAUGGUAGAAGCCUGAGCAUAUUUAUUUAUUUAUAAUUUUAAUUUUAAUAAUAGUUGUGUUCUUUCUACCCCAAGAAAUCAAAAACGCUAAUUUCAUUAAACAAGAUUCUAAAAGCCCAUAUUUAGAUAAAUUAGAAGAAAGGACUCCAACCCUAGCGCAAAAGACCUAUAAACUAGCCUAACAAAUCAUACCCAGAGAAGCAAUAUGUUUAUUGACAUAAAAAUUCUAAAUUUAAUAAGUCUAUUUAAUAAAAAAAAAAAUUGAGCUAACUUGUUUCUGGCUUUUGCUUCUCUGGGUAUGAUUUGUUAGGCUAGUUUAUACUUUAUAGGUCUUUUGCGCUAGGGUUGGAGUCCUUUCUUUAUAUAUAUAUAUAUAAAACGUGGUUAAAAUAACGAAACACAUUGACUAGCUUUUGUUAGCUUUAUUUGUUUUUUUGUUUUAAAAAUAUAUUUAAAAAAUUAAAAUUAAAAUUUUUUUAUUUUAAAUUAAUAUUUUUUAUUUUUUAAAUCAUUUUGAUGUACUGAUAUCAAAAAUAAUUUUUUAAAAAUUAAAAAAUAUUAUUUUAAUAUUUUUUCAAAUAAAAAAUACUUUAAAAAACAAUCAUAACCACACUUUCGAGCAUAACAAGGUUUCAAACCCAUGGUGCCUUUUCCUUAUUAUAAAUAUAGAAAAAAAAUUAAGUCAAGGAGGUCCAAUCUAAAAUGCUCCAAACAUUAUCCAUGUCUCAAGCUUAUGUAUGAUCCAAGAAUUCAUAUUUAUUACAAAAUUAUAAUUUUAUAUGAGUUUUUAUCGUUAUGAUUCAAGAAGUUUAUAUUGUAAAUUCAAGAAUUUUAAGUUUAUAGUCAAUUUUAUAAUUCAUAAAAUAUUUGAUCCCUGAAUUAGUUUUCUAAUUGUGUUCUUAAUCCCUUUAUUAAUUAGUUUUCUAAUUGUUUUGCAUAAAUUCUUAAGAAUAAAAAUAUUUUAACAAUAGUUUUUGUGCUAAAAAUGCUACUCUAUUCGACUUUUAAUUCAAAUUGUAUUUAUAUAGUUAAAUGUUUUUCUCUUUAAUAAAUCCAUUAUUGGAUUUGAAAUUUAUAACUUAUUUUAUAAUUCAAAAUGGAGAUUUGGUUUGUUUUUUAUUUUUGUAAAACUAAUUGAAAAAAUAAAAAAUUACAUCAAAUCAUGUUGGCUUAACUCGAAUCGGCAAGAUCAAAGACACGAGUGAAUAAUAUUUUAAUAUUCAUAGUUGAAGACCGGUGGAGCAAAAUCUGACUCUGAUCUAGAGCGUUGCACUGCAUUCCUUUAAAAUUUGAUAUUGUUUUUUCUUAAUUAAUUUUUUUUAUAUUUUUAAAUUGUUUUGAUAUGGUAAUGUCAAAAAUAAUUUUUAAAAAAUAAAAAAAUAUAUAUAUUUUUAAACAAAAAAUAUUUUAAACCAUAACUAUUAUUAUAUUACCAAACACACCCUCCCCGUUACUUUGUAUAGACCUCUUAAUUUCCAAGAGAACCUUAGCCAUUCAUUUAUGCAAGUGCACGCUUUGCCAAACAAUCCUUUAGGAUAAUGGGUUGCCCUCCGACGGCUUGCCAUAACAGGCCAGGACUAAUUUCGACUCUUCGUUGGCGAUAGCAGUGAUGGGAAUGAUGACACUUCUCUCCAUCCCAUAAAAAAGUAGUCCUUUUUGUUUGAAGAAUUUUCCCAAUUAGUCCUUUUAUUUUAGAUAUGGUCUUCAACAUGCUUUUAUAAGUUUAAUUACUCUUAAAUUGCCCUUAAGACAUUUUCUAAUCUAUCCUUUUAAUAAGUAUCUUUGUUUAAGCUAAUAAAGAUAUAAUUAUUAAUUACUUUAAAAAACUCAAUCCUACCUAAUUUAUUAAAAAAAAGAAAAUUAAGAUUUAUUUUUAUGUUAAUUUUUUCUCAGGGUUAUCUGUAAAGAAGAAACUGUAUAUCUAACCAUUAAAAAUGUUAUUUAAUAAUUAAUUAAAUUUCAAAUCUUUUGUUUUAUUAAUUUUGACUUAAACUAAUAAAAUCAACCCAUGACACUAUCGAUUUUAUUAUUAAUUAAUUUUUCCUAAAUAAUAUUAUUUUAAUUUUAAAAAAAUUCAAAAUUCUUGAAAGGAAACUAUAUUAAAUUGAUUUAUAUCAACUUGAGUUAAUUCACCAAACUCAUAAAUCAGUAAUGUAACAAACUAUUUUUAUAAAUUUAAUCACAUGUAAAUAAAGUUUAAUAAAUCUAGAGACACUAUUGAGUAAUUUGGGACCAAAGUCUAGGACUUCGAUAAUACUUAAAUAAUAGUAAUGUUCCUACAAUAACAAUGACGUUACAUAACUUAAAGAAUUGUUUUUUUUUUUUGGAUGUACAAAGCACAAAUAAUAAUAAUUCUGGAUGCAAAACACAGGCUGCAACGCAGAUGGAGCAAGAAAUUCCACCCCAAGAAAAAUCCAAACCAAUGAGAGGCGAAGAGUUCUUGGUGUUUCUGCCAUUAUCAUUUUUAUUUUAUUUUUUACUCUCUUCAUGUGAGUAUAUAAACUAUCUUAACAUUUACAAUUCAAGCCAAAAUUGAUAAUGGCAGAAACACCAAGAACUCUUCGCCUCUCAUUGAAGACCAGGUUCCUCCUCGCCGCCCACUCCUUUGGGAUUCGCGCCGCCAGCCGUUCCGACCACACCGUAAACCGCAGCGUAUUGAACAUCUUCGACCCCAAGGCCGCUGCUUCCGCCAAACCAAUCAAUGGGGUCUCCUCUUUCGACGACACUAUUGACCCUACCCGCAACCUGUGGUUCCGCCUCUACGCCCCCACAUCCACCACCACUACCGAUGCUCUGCCUGUGAUCAUAUUCUUUCAUGGUGGGGGCUUCGCAUUCAUGGCGGCUAACUCAAAAUCUUUUGACGUACUCUGCCGGCGACUUGCCCGUGAAAUUAAUGCAGUUGUUAUCUCUAUAAACUAUCGGCUUGCUCCUGAGUACAAGUACCCAUGCCAGUACGAAGAUGGCUUUGAUGCAUUGAAUUACAUCGAUGAAAUGACCUUUGAGAAUUUCCCAGCAAAUUUGGAUCUUGGAAGGUGUUUUAUUGCCGGUGAUAGUGCAGGAGGUAACGUGGCUCAUCAUGUCGUGCUCAAAGCUUGUGAACACACAUUUUCUAACAUAAAGAUCAAGGGACUCAUAGCAAUGCAGCCAUUUUUCGGAGGGGAAGAAAGAACAGAAUCAGAAAUCAAGCUUGUUGGGGUUCCUUUAAUAUCAGUGGAAGGUACAGACUGGAUGUGGAAGGCGUUUCUGCCUGAGGGAUCGGACCGAAACCACUCGGUGGUUAAUGUUUUCGGACCAAAUGCGGUGGAUAUUUCAGGCGUGAAGUUCCCUGCGACGUUACUCUUUGUCGGAGGGUUCGAUCCCUUGCAAGAUUGGCAGAAGAGGUACCAUGAGGGGCUGAAGAAAUCUGGGAAAGAAGUACAUUUGGUAGAGUAUCCAAAUGCUUUUCAUGGGUUUUAUUGCCUGCCUGAAUCGCCUGAAUGUUCUUUGUUGAUCGGUGAGGUGAAGAGUUUUGUGCAAAAGCAGUCAUCUCUUACAUAGGGUGAGGAGACGACGAUCUCUAUUUUAGUAUUAUAUCUUAUUUUAUUCACAUUCAAUAAUUAAAUCGUAUUUAAAUUGCAAUGAUUUUGUUUACUAUUGAAGAUAGAUUAUUAUGUGUGUAUUGAAUUGUUCAAUUAUUUGAUGUAUUAGAUUUGACUUUUGAGGGAACGCUAAUUUGUUUUAAAUGCUGGAAGUACGUCUGGUUGGAAAAAUAUUAAAUUAAUAUUGUGUUUAGGUAUUUUUUAAUAUAUUAAUAUAAAAAUAUAUUUUUAAUUAAAUAGCAACAUUAAAAAAAUAUUUUGCUUUCCAUUACCAAUCACACUAAAAUAAUGUUGUGUCCUUUUAGCCAUUUGGUGAGGAAUGGUGAUGGUCGUUUUUUGUUUUUUUUGUUUAUACUAAUUCAAAAGUUGUGGGGUUGCCAUGUUAAAUUUCUAUUUUUAAUUGAAUAAUAUUCUUUUAAAGAAAAAACUUGCACAACAUUUUUUUUAAAUAAAAAAAAUCUUUGAAGUUGAUACUACUUAGAUUUCACUUAGAUCAAUCGAGCCACCAAUUGAUCCGUUAAGUUUCUUGAAUAUUAAUUAAUUUAUUAAGUUAUUUAAAUUCAAACUCGGUUUAAAUCAGAUUUCAAAUCAGUAACGUCACCGAGUUACCCAGCUAGCUGGUUUUUGGAGGCUGUGUUUUUGUACAUGUGGAGGGGAAGGGAAAUAAUGUACAAUGAAAUGUGCAUGACAACUGGGUUGAUGGUUGAUGGUUGAUAGUUUGACACAGUUCAUUUUUCAUUGUAUGUGGGAGAGAAGCAAUGAAGAAGAGAAGAGGAAAAGAUGCCAAGAAAUAAAACGAAGACUUAUUGGAUGUUUGGUCUUAUUAGCAUAGCUAGUUGGAAGUGUACUGUUUCAUCUUUCAUGUGGCUUAUCACGUAUCAAAACUUCGGAUUUGUUUGGAAUUAUAGUAGUGAUUGUGGUUUAAAGUGUUUUUUUUUAUCUAAAAAUAUAUUAAAAUAAUAUAUUUUUUUAUUUUUUUUAAAUUAUUUUUGAGCUUAACACAUCUAAAUGAUUUAAAACAUAAAAAAAAAUUUAACAAAAACAAAAUUGAAAUUUGAGGGAAUGUGAUUUCAACCGCGUUCUCAAACGCUUUCUUCAUGUUUUUUCAAUCACAAAGUUACUAUAAAAAUACAUGUGUAUUUGGUAUUAUAAUAUAAGAUUUUUUUCGCUUAAAAAUAUAUAAAAAUAAUAUUUUUUUUAAAUAUCAACUUAUCAAAAUCAUUGAAAAAUAUUAAAAAAUCAUCAAUCUAAUAUUAUUUUGAAUCAAACCCAUUUUUAAAACAUACUUAAAUGCAUUUUCAAACCCAAAAAUAAAUAAUAUCUUUAUAAUUAUAGUUUAGAAAACAAUCUCCUACAUCCAAGCAUAAAAAGGUUUCGAAGUUAAAAAUAAUCUUAUAGAAGCAUGUGUAUCGUCUUAACUAUAGAUGUAGUAAGAUGAUUUGAUUUAGUAAAUAUGUAAUUUAAAAUCAGAUUCGGGUUAAGUUUUAAUUUACACUUAGUUUUGGUUAAGUUUUAAUUUAUAUUAAUUUUGAUAUUAAUAUGGUUAAUCCCAAAUAAUCUUCCUACAAUCCAAUUUACUCUUGUUAAAACUUAACCACAUCAGAACCAGAAGAGUAGAGGAAAAACAGAAACAUAAAGCCUGCCAAUCAUCGUCUUCGCCACAGCACCUGAGCCAGCAAAACAGAGGAAGAAGGGCAGGGGAAACAGGCCAAGAACCACAAAAAAUGGAGGACGAACAGUCACAAUAAAAAGAAGAACCACCCGAGAGAACCGGCUUCGUCUUCAUCUUCAAGAGCAGCAGAUCACAUGUAAUCUUCCCUUUGCAUUUUAAUUCACUGCUACAGUGGUAGUGAAUUAUAAUUCACUUGCUACUGUAGCAAGUGAAUAAUAAUUUAUUGGCUCAGCUGUAUUCUCGUUGAACAGCUGAGGGUGUGUAGAAAAAAGGAAAGUGUUUUCCUUUCUUUAACAGAAGGAAAACACUUUCCUUUAGCAAUGUUAUUAUUUUUAGGUUGACUGGAAUUCAUUUUUCUUUGACUAUUUUUCCUUGUUGUCGCCAAACAUAGGAAACGCAGGAAAGUGAAUUCCAGGAAUUCACUUUCCUGCAAUCAAACACGGCCUAAAAAAAAAAGUUUUGAAAAUCCAGAUUGAUCCUGUAACUCAUAAAUUAACCAAGUGACUUGAGCUCUUUUCGAGAUUUUAAGAUCAGAUCCCAGGCCAGUUCUGACUACUAUAAUCUCCAGUGACUGGCCCAAUUCAAAAUCAUGUUUUUGACGUUUCUCGUUGGAUCAAAGUGGGCUACCCUUUGUUCCUGAAUGCUGAAAGUCUACUAUUUUUUCACAGAGAUGAAAGCAAUUAGUAAAAGCAACUGAGCCAAGAAAUAUCCAACUAGCUUGAGCACAUCUGGAAGAUUUAGUCUCUGUAUUAUUUCACUUCUCUUAAUAAUUUUUCAGGUUCCUUUUGCUGUUAUAUAAAAAUUGCUUUCUCUCACGAGUCAAUAUCCAUUCUAUGAAAUUCUAGCGUUAGAGAGAGGUAAAAGUUUACAAUUUGUAUACCAUGAAGUAUAACGCUAAGAGUUAAACAUCUACAUGCUGGAUUUGUUUGAUUUAAUAGCAGUGAUGACCCUUGAAAGGUUGCCCUAUAAAACAAUGUCCGGUCAUCUUUACAACUUAUUUUCACAAUCCUUCGCCGGCUCGCUGAAGAACUCUUUGAAGCUCAUCUGCCAUCCCUUGUAAGAGAACUGGUUUUCGGAUCAUUCCAUUCAUUCCCAUCUGCAGGUAUCUCUCCCAAACAUUAUCCUCAGCACUGGAAGUCACAGCUAUAAUCAAUGGCCAACUCCGACUCCGACUUCGGAUCUUCCGGAUUCGCGUUGCCACUUCGAACCCAUCCAUUUCAGGCAUUUGAAUAUCUAAGACAACUAGUCUGAAAGAAUUUUCUGCAGAGCUAAGAGCACUAAGGCAUUCAAAUCCGGAUGAAACAGCAGUCACUUCACAACCUAACUUCUCAAGCAACUUCUUGGUAAUGGUUCUGUUUAAAGCAUCAUCGUCAGCAAGUAUAACACGAAGGCCUCUGAACUGAGGAAUGGAACUUGGUUGUUCUGAGGAAAGUCCUGAGGCAAAUGCGGCUCUUCCAUAAGAUGGUCGGAUUUGAAACCGAAGAACCAGAGUCAUGCUUUGUGCAAAACCCGGAGGGUUCAAAGAUAUCCAGAUAUUACCUUGCAUCAUCUGCAUAUACACUUCUUCUUAAUAUUGUUUCAUAUAGUAUAGUUCAUGCAUCUUAAAUCUGCUACAGGAAGAUAAACUGGAAAAAGAAAACAAAGCUCUUUAUUUCAAGUAUGCUUUCAUAAAAGCCACAGCGCAAACAGAGGCAUGAUAUAGCACCAAAUCAUUUAUAACCCAACCCCCCCUAAAAAAUAAAAUAAAAUAAAAAGCUUUUGAGUCCUAUAUGGAGGUGGCACCAACUGAAAAACAAAUGAGAUAUGGAUGAAGAGUCCAUUUGGUAUGACUUAUAGAGAAUCUUUUUUGACUUCGAGUCAUAAUUCUAAAGUUAAUUGUCAUGAAUGACUUCUGACAAAAAUAAUUUAAGUUGGAAAUAUCUUUGGGAGGCAUUGGCCGAGAACAAUUUCUUUUAGAAAUGGAGAUGGUAAAAAUUAGAAUCAAUAGGUUACAAGUUAGAAAUUUCAACUUUUAACUUGAUUGUAGAAAUAAGUUUUUGAUUCAAGAAAGUUAUUUCAAACCAAACAUAUGGUUUUUCUUUGAGUAAAAAACAAAUAAAAACUUAGAUAAUUUGCAAAAGUCAUGCCAAACGAAAUCUAAGUUGAGUAAUAUUUAGUGAGGUUAUUUGGAAGCGGAAGUGCGUUAUAAUUUCCAGAAAUGGAACUAGCUAAGAGAGAUUACCCAUGGAACAAGGUCAUAAUGAAACAUUCUGCAAGGGGAGAAUGCCUCAAAUCUCAUCAGAUGCAUUUACAAGAAGUUGUAAACUUAGAAAAGAAAGUUUUCUUUCAUAAAUUUUACUAGCAAUUCUCUAGCUCUGUGCAAUGCAUUUUCAUCUCUAGAUUUAGGUGCAUAAAAUGGCAUCAUUUCACCUCACAGGGUGUCUGCUGCCAUUGCCUCUGUUGCACAAUAAUGCAGCAAUAAUUAUCAACUACUGGCAUGUGUAGUCCACGUAGAUAAAAAUAAUAUUUGAUGCCUCACCUGUACAAGCUUUUUGCACAUGAUGAAGCCCAGACCCUCAGCUUCAGCACUGUUUUGCCUCCUACCAGAAGAAUUUGUGGAUGAGCUAGCUCCAUCUGAUAGAGAACUUCCUUCUCUGAUCUCCAUGUCAAACUUUAUACAUACAAACUCAUCAGGAGCAUUUGAUUUCCACAUCCCCAACAUUCUAUCUGUCUUGCCCACGCUAUCACUCUCUGAAAAAACUCGAAAUAUGACAUUCCCCCCUCCAUCAUAGAUAUUUAAAAGAUAUCCGACCAUGUGUAAAAUAACUUGAAAGGCCCUUCUUUCAUCUCCUAUCACUAGAUCAGGCAAAGAACUUUGAACAUCAAGUUCAAAAUCAAAACCUUUAUACACACACAAGCACUUAGCAAGGCAACAAGCUUCUUUGAUCAUGGAGCGUAGACGAAAGGGCACCUUCCGGUGUUAUCUUCUGCUGAAAUAUCCAUCACAUCGUUAAUCAAAGUUGAAAGCACAUUGCUGGUUUUCACCAAUGUGUCAAUAACAAUCCUUUGCUCGACGCCCAUAUUAUCAUUUUGGAACAUAGAAAGCAAUCCCAGGAUUGAGUGCAUUGGAACAUAGAAAGCAAGUGGGAUAUCCAAUUUGCUAAAGUGGUGGGGGCCUAUGUAGUGCUACGCUGUAUUUUGAAUUAUUAUUAUUUUUAAUAUAACAAAGAUAUCCUAAUAAUAAUAGCUUUUAAAAGCAACAAUAAAAAUUUGAAAUUUAGGUUAUUAAUUGAUUCGAAUGGAUUUAAUAAAUUCGAUUAAUUUAUUAAUAUAUAUAUAUAUAAACAAAUGAUAAAAAACAAUAAUGAUUAAUUAGAAAAAAUAAACGCUUGUUAAUAUUACAAAAGAUACCCUCUAAAUAUUUUUAAAAUGAUCUCAACGAUCUUAUUUUAUUACAACAUAAAAAUUCAAUGAGAAUGAGAUUACAUCAUGAAAAGAAAAAUGAAAGAAAUAUGAUGCUCAAUUACCAGCAAAGCAAAGAUUGAAAAUAAACUAGAAAAAAAACAUCAAUUUCAAAAAAGAAAAAAAAAACAUACUCGAGUUAGGAUGUCAAAUCAUGACCAGGAUAAGCCUACAUAUAAGAAUCGAAUAAAACAAUGGAGGUCAACUCUCAAGCAAACUAAAUGAUGAAAGAUAAAACUAGAAAAAAAAAAAAACAAGUGUCAACCUAGGUUAACUCAACUAAAUUGUGACACAGGAUAUAAGAUCGGAAUAAUUCUAUAAAAAAAAAAGCGAAGAAAAUCAUGAAACUCAAGGCUCAAUAACCCAAUAUUGAAGGAUAUUGAAAAAAUAAUCAUUUUUUUAAUAACCUAAAAAAAACUAAAGGUAAAUCGAACUAAUAUAUAAAACAAACUAGCAUGUCAUUUUCCUGCUAUUCAGGAUUUUAUGCAAUGAAAUCAUUCAUGCUAAAAAAACUAUCUUAACUCAAUAAUUUAAGCAUUUAGGCAAGGUUUCAGGAUAUAAUAUAUAUUAUUCUCUAAUACAUUUCCUCAAGUGAAAGCCUUUUGAGCUUGAAACUUAUAUAAAAUCAUAUUAUCUUAUACUUAAUUUUUACCAAAUAAAUAAGAAUGGUAAUAUUCAAACUCGUGACCGUUUGGUCAUUAAAAUUCUGAUAUCACCAUCUUAAUUUAAUAAUUUAAAUUAUUAAAUAAAAUUUUAAGAUAUAAUUUAUAUUAUUCCAUAAUAUUAUAGUAAUUUAAACCUAGCCACUGGCUAGGGGCACCCAACUAGCUAGGGAUGCGAUGAACCUUUUUUUGACGGCCUUGUAACCCAGUAUAUUGCAAAAAUAACAGUGCUCCUAGCCCAAGCCGGCCAACAUCACCCCCAGCAGAUUGGAAAAAAUGCUCAUAACCAUUUCGGAAAAAACACACCUAGGCUACUAUGGUAUGCUAAAAAGUGGAAAUAAAUCGAUAAUAAUCAUGAAAUAAAUCGUAAGCAGAAACCGAAAAAAAUAAAUAAAUUGUUCAUACUACUCCAUCUUGAUUGAUGGGAAUGACUUCGGACUUGCAUACAUAUGUAAUAUGUAAGACUCCUGCUAAAAUUAUCCGAUAAAUUAUCAUGAAAAAAAUUAAUAAAGUCAGAAAACAACCAUGAAAUGCUUCUUAAAUUAAAUAAAAUGGAGAAAAAAACUCAGGUAAUAAAUGUUUUAUUUACUUUUAAGCUGAAAGCAUUUCUAUUCAAUGAUAUUUCUUAGUCACAAAUAAGCUAGCAACAAUUAUAUGAGAAUCAAAUCUUCUCAAUCACAUGUUCAGCACUCAGAAAGCAAAUUUACAGAGUAAUAAGUCUAAUAAACUUCUUGAUCUAGUGCAACAGAUAAUUCUAAAUUUAUUAAAUAGACUCAUUAACAUUUUUUAUAUAUUUAUUGACCUAAAUAAUUCUAAAUUUAUCUAAUUAAAUAUAUACAAAACCUGGUUAGUAUAACUAAACACACUGACUUUUGGCUACCACACUAGCUUUUGGCAUUAAGUGGCUUGUCCCCAGAACCUGGUCCCAAAUGCCAGCAACCGAGCAUAAAAGGUUUCAACACCAUGGUGCCUUUUCCUUGUUGAAAACAUAAAAUAAAAUUUAAGUCAAGGAGGUCCAGUCUUAAAUGCUCCAAACAUUAUCCAUGUCUCAAGCUUAUGUGAUCCAAGAAUUCAUAUUUAUUAUAAAAUUAUAAUUUUAUAUGAGUUUUUAUCUUAUGAUUCAAGAAGUUUAUAUUGUAUAUUCAAGAAUUUUAAGCUUAUAGUUAAUUUUAUAAUUCAUAAGAAUAUUUGAUCCCUGAAUUAGUUUUAUAAUUGUUUUGCAUAAAUUCUUAAGAAUAAAAAUAGUUUAGCAAUAGUUUUCGUGCUAACAAUGCUACUCUAUUCGGCUUUUAAUUCAAAUUGUAUUUUUUAAGUUUUUUUAUUUUUGUAAAAUUGAUUGGAAAAAAAAUAUCAGGUCAUGUGGGCUUAACUCGAAUCGGCAAAAUCAAAGACACAAGUAAAUAAUAAAUUUCAAUAUUCAGAGUUGAAGACCGGUGGAGCAAAAUCUAACUAUGAUAUAAAGCGUGUUGAAAAUAUCGUGCAAAUCAUGUUCCUUUAAAAUUUUAAUUAUUUUUGCUUAAAAUUAAAUUUUUUAAUGUUUUGAAAUCGUUUUGAUAUUCUAAUGUUAAAAAUAAUUUUUUUAAAAAAUAUAUUAUUUUAAUAUACUUUUAAAUAAAAAAUACUUUCAUCCGCAACCACAUUUCAGGCUUGUUUGGGACUGGCAAAGUCAAAUGUUAGACCAGUCAUAUAACAAACUGUCUUUAUAAAUUUGAUCACAUGUAAAUAAAUUUUAAUUAGUGUAGAGACACUAUUGAGUAAAUUGGGACAAAAGUCUAGGACUUCGAUAAUACUUAAAUAAUAGUAAUGUUCCUACAAUAACAAUGACGUUACAUAACUUACAGUAUAUAUAUAUAUAUAUAUAUAUAUAUAUAUAUAUAUAUAUAUAUAUAUUGGAUGUCCAAAGCACAAAUAAUAAUAAUUUUGGAUGCAAAACAUAGGCUGCAACGCAGAUGGAAUCCAAAUAUAAGUUAUUCCAACUUUCUUUCUAUCCCAAGAAAUCGAGAAUGCUUGUAGCUUUUGAUGUUUAAGAAAUCGAGAUAACCAUUUUUGAAAGCAAAGGCUUUAAAUAUUCAAAACAAGGAUCCGUUAUCAUUUAUAGAGAUAUACCACUGUAGCUUUUGAUGUUUACCGGUUUUGGAAAUGCGCUUACGCUUUUAAAUGUUUUUUUAUAUUUGUUUUUAAAAAAUAAUAAUUUGAUAAAUUUUUUCGUAUUUUUUAAUAAUUUUAAUAUAUUAAUAUUAAAAAUUAAAAAUAAUUAAAAAUUUUAUUUUAAAAAGAAAAAAAAUCAAAGUUUUUGAAAAGCAUGUGCUCUAACAAUAACAGAUUAAAUAUGUGAUUAAUAGCAUGUGAUUAAAGGUUUUCAGUCGAUGCCAUUACAUGCAGUCAAAGACUCCAUCCUUACUUUUAAUAAACAAAACCUACACUCAAUAAUAUGUCCUAGUUUUUAAAAAAUAUAAAAAUAAAAUGUUAAGAGCGAAGAAAGUUUGUUGGCGAUAUUAUUAAAUCUGGUUAGGGGAGUUGAUAUUAAAAUCUUUUAAUCUAAUUUUUUAUUUAAUUUAAAUUUUUAAUUAAAUUGUAUGGAAAUUAACUUAAUUUAAAUCAAUUAAUAUCUAAAUAUAAUUUGAAAGUAUGGUAAAGCAUGGCUUAGCUUUUUUAAAAAAAACUCUAAACAACAACUUCUAAAAAAAUAUUGAAACAAUGAUAGAUUUGAUCGAUCCCGGUCUCUCGUGACCUGGGUCAUGAAUUCUAUUGGGUUUAGUAAUUUUUUAUAAAUUUUUUUAUUUAAUUAUAUGAUAAAAAUAAAUGCUCAUAAAAUUGAGUAUCAUUCCUAAAAUAAAUAUUUAUUUAAGAUUAUGAUAAUUUUAUAGAAAACAAAUAAAAAGAAAUCAUGUUGUCUAUUUCCAAACCAAUCUAAUAUUAAAAAAUAAAAUUAAAAAAUCAGAGAAAAAAAAUAUAUCAAAGAAAUCACAUAAGUAGUUGCUAAGAAGGAACCCGCCGCUUACCUACCAAACAAUAUAUAUAAGAAGUUAACGCGUGGACCACCCCAGUUAUGAAGCUUAGAGUGUGUUUGACAGUGUGAUAGCGGUUGCUUUUCAAAUAGCUUUUCGUGCCGAAAUACAUGCCAAUGAUAUUUUUUUAUUUUUUAAAAAUUAUUUUUAACAUCAGCACAUCAAAACGAUCCAAAAAGUACAAACCGAACUCAAUUUUAACAAAAAAAAUUUUUUUUUGAAUUUUGACAAAACACCGUUUGGAACGCAAUGCCAAACGGUGUCUUAGAAGAAGAUGCCUAGAAAAUGUAAACACAUGAAUAUGAGAAACAAUAAUAUUUUUUGGCCCAGAGGUUUUACAGUUCCAUUGAGGAAAAAAAAGAAAAAAUCAAUAUAGUAUUUUCAGGUUAUGCUACUUUCUAGUUUUAGUAUUAAAUUUAGUCUUAGAAGUUUCACUUAUUUAAAAAAUAUGUUUAUGAAUACGGCAGUUUCAGGUUUAGAAACCAAAACUGUCAUAUUCAUACUCUCUCUUAGACACUUUAAAAAUGUGUGUAGAUUUAUAAUAGUGAAUAGAUUUAUUAUUUUAUUAGGUUACUUUAAUGAUAAAUCAAUAUAUUAUUUUUUGGAUUUUCAUCUUGGAGAAACUUGAUAAGGAUGAAAAUAUAAUAUUAAUCAAACUUCAAAUUAUAAUUAUUUAUCUAUCCAGUUAAAAAAAAGGUACAAAGGAUGAAGGAUUAUUUCAAUAUUAACUAGUAAGAAUAUCCUUGUUGAUUUUAAAGGACUAUUUUCAUAUCAUAUCGAAAAUGAUUGAAAGAAUUUGAUAUUAUUGAAUAUGAGCAAAUUUUAAGGUUGCAAUCAAUUACCAUUGCUCGUCAAACUCUACAAAGGGAUGAAGGACUUCCUUUGCAUCAGGAUCCCCACUCCACUACUCUCUCCCACCAGUCUUCUGGAUAUGCCUUGAUUUUUUAAGAGAAGGGGGAGGGAUGGCUGCCCAUUUUCAAGCAACGGAAGACAAUUGGCAUCCUCUUCAGCUUCUCACAAGCCAUUACAGUAAUAUCUUCAAGAGAAUUGCAAAUCAGUUUUGCACUGCAAAUGCUUUUCAGUUCUGGUAACAAAUACAAUUCCAGAGUUAUUAACUUUGGGAGAAAUGACUUCCAUGAUGGAAUGGGAGGUGCUUUCUUCAUCUGUUGUUCCUAUUAUCUCCUCCAUUUUCUCACAAUCAUUCUUCAAUCCUUUCCAGGUUUACGAGGUUGGCCAGCAACACAGCGGGAACAACUUCAUACUUUUACAGUCAAAACAAUAAAACUCUUUAAGAACCAGAAACGUACCGUUACAUGAUGGCAUCGUGGUGGAGCAGAGAAGAACCAAGAAGAUGAAACCAAGCUCUCCAUUUUAAAAAUCCGCAUGCUACUUUCUAGUUUUAGUAUUAAAUUUAGUAUUUAAAAAUAUGUUUAUGAAUAUGGCAGUUUCAGGUUUAGAAACCAAACUUGCCAUAUUCAUACUCUCUUGGACAUUUUAAAAAUGUGUUGUAGAAGAAUACUUUCAAUGAUGAUUUAAUAUUAAGUUACUUUAAUGAUAAAUCAUAUAGUAUUUUUUUUAUUUUUUGGAUUUUCAUCUUGGGGAACUCAAUAGGAUGAAAAUAUAUAUUAAUCAAACUUCAAAUUAUAAUUGUUAAUCUAUCGAGUUAAAAAAAAUAUGACAAUUCAGUAGUCUUAAUGAAAUAAAAAAAAUGAAAAAUGUUAUUUAUGUAAUUGUAAGCAUACUAUUUAUAUUAGUUUACAAAGGGACGAAGGACAUCUUUGCGUUGGAUACUCCACUCCACUACUGACUCCCACCAUUUUUUUAGAUAUACAAAGAUUUUUUUAAGAGAAGGGGGAGGAGAUGGCUGGCCGUUUUCAAGCAAUGGAAGAUAAAUUGGCAUCCUCUUCAGCUUCUCACAACUUUCCUACCAAAGAUUAUAUUACAAGAGACAACAAGUUGCUGUACACCUCUAUUUCGCUUUUCUUUUGUCUAGCGCUGCAUAUAAUUAAAAUCUUCAACAAAAGAAUCAAAAGCUAAAAAUUAUUUAAAAAAAAAACAUUUUCUGACAAUAAUGCCAAACACUUUAACUCGUGGACCCACCCCAUUGUUGAAACUUUGAUAAAGCUGACCUGAAAAUGUAAGAGCCUGAAGCUUAGCUUCAAGAGCUGUAAGUACUAUGCUAGGAAUGAUGCAUCGCACUCCUCUCCCAUCAAUGUCAUUAUCUGAUCCACUCCAACUUCCAUUCCCUAAAAAUUUAACGAAGAAUAGCAUUAGCAAUAAAAAUAGUGCUUAGGGGUACUGAAACAACCGUUAAACCUAUGGUUGGAAAUAAAACUCAGGACUCAAAACCUACAGUACUUUGAGAAUUUGUACACGUUAAACGUUUAUAAGAAAAAAAUGUGGAGUCCAUUGAAAUAAAACCACAACUACGUACCUUGAAUAUCUACACAAGUUUUUCCUAAUAAGAAUUCUGGUAGAAAGCCUUGAAUAUGUAAAAGAAAAAUUGCUAAUAAGAAUCAUAGUAUUCUAGAUGAUAAUACCUAUUUGUAAAGUCCAUACAUAUUCCUUCUCAAAUUAAUUAUGACAUGGUAACAUCAUGAUUGAUGAAUUUUUUAGUCGAGUUGUAUUUGCUUCGUGUUUUUCCUACUAGUUAAGGUUUUUGUUACGAUGAUGUUCUUAACAUCAAAAAGAAUUUUUACUAUAUAUCACUACCAGAAAUUCGCUAAAUACCAACGGAUUAACCGACGGAAUUUUUUCUGUCGGUAUUUUUCGGUCGAAAUCACCGACGGCCAAGUUUCGUCGGUAAUUCGGUCGGUAAUUACCGAUAGAAAAUUCAGAAUUAAUGAAAAAAGGGCGGGUAGAUGGCGCCGAGGUUUUGGCGGGUGAUUUUGCCGACGGAAUCACCGACGGAAUGAAAACCUGGGGCCCGUACGCGUGAUGGGACCUGUUCACCGUCAAUAAUACCGACAGAAUCACCGACGGAUUUGAAAUGCCAGAUCCGUACCGGUGACGUGACCGGUGCACCGUUAAAGUACCAACGGAAUCACCGAGGGAUUUGAAUAGCAAGUCCGUGCGGUGACGUGUCGAUUGCCGUCAGAAUUACCGAUGGUUUCCGAGUUCACGCGGAAUAAACCGUCUGUAAUUCCAUCGGCAAAAGUGAAUAUAUGGCCACUCUGCCGACACUCUCCUCCCCCAUUUCUCCUUCUUCUCCUAAUCCUAACCCUCCCAUCUGCAAAUAACCAGCCCCCCCUCGCCCCAAAACAAAAAUCUUGAAGUUGUAUUUCUUGAAGUUUUUGGUCACAGCAUCCGUGUUUGAUUACCGACGGAUUUUAUCAUUUUUUUAAGUAAUUCUAUCUUUUAAAAUUUUAACAUUUAAAUGUCAAUUUUAUUGUUUUUUUUAGUAUAUGUAUUUUUUUUAGUAGAUGUACAUGUUUUAUUGUUAUUUCUCAAACAAACUUGUUAUAUGAAUGUAAAAUUUAUACUUGUUAUGGUUUGUUUUAGAUUUUGUAAGAUUGUAUUUGUUUGUAAAUUGUUAAAACUUAAUUUGUAGAAUUACCGAAUUACAUGUUUGUUUUGAAAUAAUUAAGAGCUUGCUUAAUGGGUCCUUUUUAUAGAGGUUCGAUAGAAGUCAUGGAUGAUCGUUCAUGGAUGUAUCUAGAUUCACCCCAAGGAUUGCGGAGGAUGGAUUAUUGUAACGGGGUUCAGGGGUUUUAUUAAUUUCGCAACAUCUAUUCCCAGAAAUUUUACUGGAGGCGGUAUUAGGUGUCCAUGCAGGAAGUGUCAAAAUAAAAAGUAUCUGCAUCCAGAUGUUGUAAUAAUGCAUCUUCUACACAAAGGGUUUGUGGAGGAUUACGAGUGUUGGUAUGCACAUGGAGAGGUAUUUGUUAGUAAUAGGAGAAUGGGAGAAACGGUGGUUGGGUCAACUUCUAGUGCUAGCAACGUGCAUGAAGCGGCAAAUGACAACACUAAUCCUUACAGAAACAUGGUUAUGGAUGCAAUGAGAAUGAAUCAAGAUAAUGUCAAUCAAUGUCCAAUCGUAGAAGAAGAACCUAAUGCAGAGGCAGCUAGGUUUUUUGAUUUGUUGAAAGAUUCUGACGAACCAUUAUGGGAUGGCUGCACAAACCACAGUAAAGUAUCGGUCGUGGCACAGGUGUUCACCAUCAAGUCAGAUCACGGGUUGAGUGAGGUCGGGUAUGACAAAAUUAUUGAUUGGACAAGAAGCAUUUUACCUGAAGAGAACUUCUAUACUGCGAAGUCCAUGAUGAAACCCCUCGGUUUAGGAUACCAGAAAAUUGACAUGUGCCCUAACUUCUGCAUGUUAUACUACCUUGAAAAUGAUUUUAAAUUCAACGACAACAACAAUAUACUCAAGACCAAUAUUACAGUAAAGAAAUUAAAACAAUACAGAUCAAUAAAUGAUCCAAAUAUAAUAAAGACUUAGUCCAUUUAAUAGAAGCAACAUGAAUGUACCUUAUAUCCGAGUCGUGAAAAUAAAACACAAUAUUUUUUAAACUAAUAAUUUUUAAAAAAUAUAUUCAGUAAAACAACAUUUAUCAAGUUAACUAUCUCAUGAAGGUUGACGCCAUCAUGCCUUGGAAACAGAGGAUCUGUAAGGUUAGCGUUCCUGUUUAAGAGAACGACAUCAAUUUAAUUAUGCGAGAUUCAAUCUUUUUUCCACUACAAAUUCAAUCAUGUACGUAGACCUCCUACCUACAUUUUUAAUAUUUCUGGAUCUGCUUUUUGAUUCAUCAAGGACAGAGUAGAUUGCAGCUUCAUCAUAGAAAAGUUCGUCUUCUUCAUCUUCUUGGUUGGCACGAGGAAAUAUAAGUGGACUCUUCUCCAGACAAAACUUGACAGUAUCUUCUGUUGCAAACGAAGGUCUUUUUUCAAAAACAUGAUGCUUAGCAUAUUACAUCAAGGGCAAAGUCAUCAUUUAAAUAAUAAAGGGACGAAGGACAUCCUUAGCAUUGGGAUGCUCCCACUCCACCACUGACUCCCACCAUUCUUUUGGAUGAAUCUCCAUUUUUAUAAGAGAAGGGGGGUGAGAUAGCUGGCCAUUUUCAAGCAACGGAAGAUGAAUUCCCAGCAUUUUCAGCAUCUCACAAUUUGUUAUCCCAAUUUGUUGGAGAGAAUCGCAGAUCAGUUCUGCACUAAAAAUGCUUUUCAGUUUUGGUAAUUCGGUCAAAUAUAGAAUUCUUAACUUUGGAAGUUUGAGUUCGAUGCUGCUGCAGCUGCUUUCUUCAUCUGAUCCUGUUCCUAUUAUCUCCUCCAUUUCGACACACCAUCUAACUUCAAUCACUUCCAGGUUUACAAGGGAUGUCAGCAAGACGAUAGGGAACAAUUUCUUCAUACUAUUACAUCCAGAGCAAUAGAACUCCAUAAGACCAGAAAAUAUGCCUUUAGAAGAUGGGCGUGACCUCAAAUCCUCCAUCUCUUUACGUAACAAAGAAGAUGAAACCAAGCCCUCCAUGUUACUGCAAUCCUUGAUGUUGAUGACCUCUAGUUUUUCUGCACGUAUUAUUGAGAGGAAACAUUGCAUAAACUUGUUGCAGCAUCACAAUAAAAAAUCAUCAGCUGUUGAAUGUCAUUUGGAAAAAUGUCCUCAAGAUCUCCAUCGCUCUCGAUACUCAAGUCACCCAACCAAACACUUUACAUCUAUAAUACCUUUUUACAUCGUAAUCAUCAUACCCAAAGUCUCCUACAAAAAAAUUGUAUUCUCUUGGCGAUUGGGUACUAUUAUCCCGAUAUUUGAGAUAAUCCACAAAGUCAGAGUAACCAUCAAAAUGGCAUUUUAAAGUUUCCAACUUCCUCAAGCAUGCUACUUCUUUUCCUUUAACUGUCACCGGAGCAAGUUGUUUAUCCAUACGACCCGCAGUAGGCAUAAAGUCUUCUAGUAUAAAAACUUGCAGGUGCAAGAGUUUUGGUAAUAUCCCACUAGGAAACUCACGUUGACCACAUCCAUUCAUUCUAAGAUACCUCAGGUUGGAGAGAUAUUCCAUGCCUUGAGGCAUCUUUUCAAGUGCAGUACGAUAGAGAUCCAACCUCCUCAGUGCUCUGAGCUUUUCCAAUGAUGGUAAAUGUCUUAGCUUAUCACAAGCGAUGAGCAAUAGUGAAGUGAGAGUCAGCAAAUCAGAGACAGCAUCUGGUAGUCUUUGAUAUUCGUAUAAGACAGAUCAAGAACCUUGAGCCCAAACAACUGCUUAAAAAAGGAUUCUGCAAUAAAUCUCAAGUCGUAAUUACAACUUAACAGUAAGGUUGAUAGAUUUGGACAACUUGGUGAAUGGCUCGAGGGAAUUUCUUCAAUUUUGUUAUACAUAAGUGAAACUCUCGUGAGAUUAUCUGUCCACGCAUCUGUAUCCGGCAAUUCUUUUAAUUGCACAUCUGCUUUAAACAUGCCUGGAGAAUUCUCUUGCAGUAUUUGGAUGGCCAUGUCCCUAAUCAAGUGAUGCAUCUUGACAUUAUCACUAUCAAUUCUUUCCAGCAAACAGAUAUUUUCAAGACUAUUAAGCAUCGAAUAGCCUUUGUCAAAUUCUGCCACCCUACUGUUGAGCCCUUUUAUCACUCCCUCGUCAAUCAAAUACCCUACCAAAUCCUUCCUACAGAUCGUGUAGCCUUCAGGAAAUAAUGCACAAUACAACAGACAUUGUUGCAAUGCUGAAUCUUUUAAGUGCGUAUAACUAAAUCUCAAUAUCCGGAAUACCUCUUCUUCCAUGCCAUCUUGCCUAACUCUUGAUUGUCUCAGGUCCUCUAAGGCAUUCCUCCACUCGUGUAUGUCAUCCACCCCUUUCAUGGUUACAGCCAUUGUUAUAAUUCCUAGCGGCAAACCAUCACACUCCUUUGUGAUAGAUUUUGCAAUUUGUUCCACUUCUGGAGAAAAUGCAAUGACAUGUCCAAGUCUCUCAAUAAAAAGAGUCCAAGCUUCUUCCUCCGAAACAGGCUUUACUUUGAUUAUGUGUUGGGUAUCCAUCUGGUCACAAACCUUUUUUGAUCGAGUUGUAAGAAUCAGCUUGCAUCCCUUAACUUGGAUAGGAACCCCCAACUUGUGUAGUUCAAAAGCCUUCCAUAAAUCAUCUAAAAUCAGAACCCAUUUCUGCUUCUUCAUUAAUUCUUUUGACAAUUUGACCGCUCUGUGCAGCUCCUCGUCUUCAUUAGAAAGAUCUAAACCAAUACUUCUUGCAAUACUGUUCUGCAAUCUACUAAUGCUGGUAUCUUGUGAAACAGUAAUCCAGUAAACAUGACAGAAAGUAUCUGAUGUUUCUAGAAGCUGAUUAUAUAUGUGUGUCACCAAUGUUGUCUUUCCCACUCCACCCAUCCCAUAGAUGCCAAUCCUUGAAACUUCAUCGUUCAUCAACCACUGCCAGAUAAUCCUCCAAUGGUCUUCGAAUUCAUGACCCACCAGCUUUGUCGUUGGUAGUGCAUCUUCUUUAAUCUCAUCUAUGUUCCAUGUAAGCCCUCCAAAAGAGCUAGCUCCUGCACCAGGCUGCACUACUCCUCUAGUCCCGUUAUCUAUAUCAUCCUCUGUUGACAAAUUACAGAUCUCAUCCAAACUUCUCUCAAUUGAUUGACCCGUUACAUCUGGUGCUUGUAUCCUUCCAGCAUCCCAGCCAAAUUGUCAAGUACUGCUUUGUUUUGUUCUAGCAGACCGGUUGAAAUAGCAUAAUCAUUAACAUUGCUCGAACUUUCUAUGCUUUUAUCUCCUCGAGGCUCAUCAGCUUGAUUAAUUGAUGGCCUCUCACAAGAGCUACCUCUCUCCAGAUGCUGCACUUGUUCUGUUCUCGGUACAGUUUCAAAUCCAUCAUGCAGACGCUCCACAUCCUCAUCUUCCUGCAUUAAAUAGGUAGAGAUUGCAUUCAGCUUCUGCUCCUUUGAAAGGGCAGAGUGUAUCUGAUCCCAAUUAUAAUCAGCAAAUGGAUCCACCAAAUCUGUUCCUGGUGUUGCUUCUCCUCUAUUCUCAUGAGCAUCAACUCUGAGUCUCCAAGGAGAGACACUUCUGUCAACAUGCUGAAAAGAUCCUUCACCAGUGUAUUCCAUGCCACUUGCCGCUUCUAAACGCGAAUGAAUUCUCUCAGGCCCACAACCUUGUGCCAAAUUACCAAGUACUGCAUUGUCUUGAUCUUGUCGACAGGUGGAAAUGUCAACAUUGCUUGAACUUGCUAUGCUUUUAUGUCUUUUGUUGCCAACAUGCAUAGCUAGAAAGGCUGCUUCUUGAACUUCUUUAGGCACUUGACCACAAAUGACAACAUUAUGCCCUCUCUCUCCUGAUAAAUGCCAUUUGAUCCUCGAAAUGGAAGUACCAUUGGCAAAUAAAUGCCCACAAAACUUACACUUCAUGCUUCCAUCAUUCAUAUCUUCAACUUCCUUCCAAAACGGAUCAUCUGAUCUACCCAUUUUGUCCUACAGAUAAAAAGGGUCAAAAUAUUGAAUAAAAAUUAAUGGAAGUACAUUAAUUGGAAAAGGAAGGUUGAAACUAAAAUAAUAAGUUACAAACAGCGAAGAAACUAAGAAGAAAAAACAAUGAAUUCAAGGUUAACCUGGGGUCAAUUUAGUUUGAACUUUGAACUGCAUAAGGCAUGGAUUGUUGUUACAACUGAGAGAUCAAUAUUAUUUUUUGGAACUGUUGAUGAUCCUAACUCCAAACUUUCUCAUUAGAAUUUCUACAAGCUGUGUUUUACUUGAAAGAUUCAAACCAGAACAUGUGAAAAACAAAUGAAGAAGAUGGGAGUAGAAAUAAUUUAUACCUGGAUUCAAGUUGUUCUUCAAGUGCUGGUUUCGCUUAAGUAGUAUUCAGGAAGAAAAACAAGAACAGAGAAGAAUAUAUGGUUUAAAAAUAACAAGGAAGUUGCAAGAUGUUGAGCUCCAGAUGAUUCGAUUCAAUCAGAAAAGGAAGCACUGAUCAUCAGAAAGUUUAAGAAAUUUGAUGAGGGAAAUGGGAAAUCAAUGGUAUAAUGAGAUGAGAUUUGGAAGAGAAUGUUACAGUAGCAAAGAUUAUUGUAUUGUUUGAGAAGAAGGAAGUUGCUAGGAAGGAAGCCACAAACUUUACCUACCAGAGAUUAUAUUAUAAGAUAUGGCAAGUUGCUGUACACCUCAAAUUUGCUUUUCUUUUGUCUAGCGCAGCAUAUAAUUAAAAACUUCAACAAAAGAAUAGAAGCUAAUUGCUGUCUGAGUUAACGUGUGGACCCACCCCAUUGUUGAAACUUUUGAAAAAGCUGGCCUGAAAAUGUAAGAGCCUGAAGCUUAGCUUCAAGAGCUGUAGCAAAGUAUUGACCGUCAUUAUCUGAUCCACUCCAACUUCCAUUCCCUAAAAAUUUAACGAAGAACAACAUUAGCAAAAAAAAAAAAAUCUUGCUUAGGGUACUGAAACUACCGUUUUAUAGAUAACUUAAGAAAUUUUACUUAUGAUUACCUACUUAGUUCACACCUUGAGCUUGAGAGAUCAGGCAGAAACACAAGUUUGAUCGCUCCCAGAAAGGUUCAAAAACUGAUUUUCCUAGUUAGCAUUUCCAUGAGCAGUAAGCGUCCUAUUAGUUUCGUUGCCCACGCUUAGUUUCGAGGUGUCAGCAACGUUCUUCUGAGCAUAAAUUCUUCUUUAUGAGUUUUUAUCUUAUGAUUCAAGAAGUUUAUAUUGUAAAUUCAAGAAUUUUAAGUUUAUAGUCAAUUUUAUAGUUCAUAAAAAUAUUUGAUCCCCGAAUUAGUUUUCUAAUUGUGUUCUUAAUUCCUGAACUUGUUUUCUAAUUGUUUUGCAUAAAUUCUUAAGAAAAAAAAAUAUUUUAACAAUAGUUUUUGUGCUAAAAAUGCUACUCUAUUCGUACUUUUAAUUCAAAUUGUAUUUAUAUAGUUAAAUGUUUUUCUCUUUAAUAAAUCCAUUAUUGGAUUUGAAAUUUAUAACUUAUUUUAUAAUUCAAAAUGGAGAUUUGGUUUGUUUUUGAAGUUUUUUAUUUUUGUAAAACUGAUUGAAAAAAUAAAAAUUACAUCAAGACAUGUUUACUUAACUCAAAUCAGCAAGAUCAAAGACACAAAUGAAUAAUAAAUUUUAAUAUUCAUAGUUGAUGACCGAUGCAGUAAAAUCUGACUCUGACCUAUAGCGUUACACUGCAUUCCUUUAAAAUUUGAUAUUGUUUUUGUUUAAAAACUAAUUUGUUUUUUUAUUAUUUUUAAAUUAUUUUGAUAGGCUAAUAUUAAAAAUAAUUUUUUAAAAAUAAAAAAAUAUAUUAUUUUAAUAUAUUUUUAAACAAAAUUUAUUUUAAACCAUAACUGCUAUUAUAUUACCAAACACGUCCUCAUCCCGUUACUUUUUAUUGACCUCUUAAUUUCAAAGAGAACCUUAGCCAUUCCUUUAUGCAAGUGCACGCUUUGCCAAACAAACCUUUAGGAUAAUGGGUUGCCCUCCGACGGCUUGCCAUAACAGGCCAGGACUAAUUUCGACUCUUCGUUGGGGAUAGCAGUGAUGGGAAUGAUGACACUUCUCUCCAUCCUUGACCAUUUUAAUUUCGAGAAACUCCCCCACCAUCCCAUAAAAAAGUAGUCCUUUUGUUUGAAUAAUUUUCCCAAUUAGUCCUUAUAUUUUAGAUAUGGUGUUCAACAUGUUUUUACAAGUUUAAUUACUCUUAAAUUGCCCUUAAGACAUUUUCUAAUCUAUCCUUUUAAUAAGUAUCUUUGUUUAAGCUAAUAAAGAUAAAAUUAUUAAUUACUUAAAAAAACUCAAUCCUGCCUAAUUUAUUAAAAAAAAAAAUUAAAAUUUGUUUUUAUGUUAAUUUUUUCUCAUGGUUAUCUGUAAAGAAGAAACUGUAUCUAACCAUUAACAUGUUAUUUAAUAAUUAAUUAAAUUUCAAAUCUUUUGUUUUAUUAAUUUUGACUUAAACUUAUAAAAUCAACCCAUGAAACUAUCGAUUUUAUUAUUAAUUAAUUUUUCCUAAACAAUAUUGUUUUAAUGUUUUAAAAAAUUAAUUAAAAAUUCUUUAAAAAAAACUAUAUUGAAUUGAUCUAUAUUUGCUAGAGUUAAUUUAUCAAACUCAUAAAUAAGUUAUGUAACAAAUUAUUUUUAUAAAUUUGUUCACAUGUAAAUAAAGUUUAAUAAGUCUAGAGACACUAUUGAGUAAUUUGGGACCGUCUAGGACUUAGAUAAUACUUAAAUAAUAGUAAUGUUCCUACAAUAACAAUGACGUUACAUAACUUAAAGAAUUGUUUUUUUUUUUUUUGGAUGUACAAAGCACAAAUAAUAAUAAUUCUGGAUGCAAAACACAGGCUUCAACGCAGAUGGAGCAAGAAAUUCCAAAUCAAUGAGAGGCGAAGAGUUCUUGGUGUUUCUGCCAUUAUCAAUUUUAUUUUAUUUUUUACUCUCUUCAUGUGAGUAUAUAAACUAUCUUAACAUUUACAAUUCAAGCCAAAAUUGAUAAUGGCAGAAACACCAAGAACUCUUCGCCUCUCAUUGAAGACCAGGUUCCUCCUCGCCGCCCACUCCUUUGGGAUUCGCGCCGCCAGCCGUUCCGACCACACCGUAAACCGCAGCGUAUUGAACAUCUUCGACCCCAAGGCCGCUGCUUCCGCCAAACCAAUCAAUGGGGUCUCCUCUUUCGACAACACUAUUGACCCUACCCGCAACCUGUGGUUCCGCCUCUAUGCCCCCACAUCCACCGCCACUACCGAUGCUCUGCCUGUGAUCAUAUUCUUUCAUGGUGGGGGCUUCGCAUUCAUGGCGGCUAACUCAAAAUCUUUUGACGUACUCUGCCGGCGACUUGCCCGUGAAAUUAAUGCAGUUGUUAUCUCUAUAAACUAUCGGCUUGCUCCUGAGUACAAGUACCCAUGCCAGUACGAGAUGGCUUUGAUGCAUUGAAUUACAUCGAUGACAUGACCUUUGAGAAUUUCCCAGCAAAUUUGGAUCUUGGAAGGUGUUUUAUUGCCGGUGAUAGUGCAGGAGGUAACGUGGCUCAUCAUGUCGUGCUCAAAGCUUGUGAACACACAUUUUCUAACAUAAAGAUCAAGGGACUCAUAGCAAUGCAGCCAUUUUUCGGAGGGGAAGAAAGACAGAAUCAGAAAUCAAGCUUGUUGGGGUUCCUUUAAUAUCAGUGGAAGGUACAGACUGGAUGUGGAAGGCGUUUCUGCCUGAGGGAUCGGACCGAAACCACUCGGUGGUUAAUGUUUUCGGACCAAAUGCGGUGGAUAUUUCAGGCGUGAAGUUCCCUGCGACGUUACUCUUUGUCGGAGGGUUCGAUCCCUUGCAAGAUUGGCAGAAGAGGUACCAUGAGGGGCUGAAGAAAUCUGGGAAAGAAGUACAUUUGGUAGAGUAUCCAAAUGCUUUUCAUGGGUUUUAUUGCCUGCCUGAAUCGCCUGAAUUUUUCUUUGUUGAUCGGUGAGGUGAAGAGUUUUGUGCAAAAGCAGUCAUCUCUUACAUAGGGUGAGGAGACGACGAUCUCUAUUUUAUUAUUAUACCUUAUUUUAUUCACAUUCAAUAAUUAAAUCGUAUUUAAAUUGCAAUGAUUUUAUUUACCAUUGAAGAUAGAUUAUUAUAUGUGUAUUGACUUGUUCAAUUAUUUGAUUUAUUAGAUUUAACAUUAAAAAAAAAUAUUUUGCUUUCUAUUACCAAUCACACUAAAAUAAUGCUGCGUCCUUUGAGCCAUUUGGUGAGGAAUGGUGAUGGUGGUUUUUUGUUUUUUUUUUUUUGUUUAUACUAAUUUAUAAGUUGUGGGGUUGGCAUGUUAAAUUUCUAUUUUUAAUUGAAUAAUAUUGUUUUAAAGAAAAAACUUACACAACAUUCUUUUAAAUAAAUAAAAAAUCUUUGGAGUUCAUACUAGUAGAUUUCACAAUAGUUUACUUGGAUUAAUCGAGUCAUAAAUUAAUCUGUUAAGUUUUUUUAGUGCUAAUUGAUUUGUUAAGUUAUUUAAAUUAAAUUAAAUUAAUUUUUUAUUUAGAUAAAAAGCAAACUCAGUUUGCAUCAGAUUUCAAAUCAGUAACUGGGUUGAUCCUUCUAAUUAAUGUAUAAUGAAAUGUGCAUGACUAACUGGGUUGAUGGUUGAUAGUUUUGACACAGUUCAUUUUUCAUUGUAUGUGGGAGAGAAGCAAUGAAGAAGAGAAGAGGAAAAGAUGCCAAGAAAUAAAACGAAGACUUAUUGGAUGUUUGGUCUUAUUAGCAUAGCCAGUUGGAAGUGUACUGUUUCAUGGGGCUUAUUAUCACCUAUCAAAACUUUAGGUUUGUUUGGAAUUAUAGUAAUUAUAGUAAUUUAAAGUGUUUUUUUUAGAAAUAUAUUAAAAUGAUAUUUUUUUAUUUUUUUAAAUUGUUUUUUAAAAUCAAAACAUCAAAACAAUUUAAAAUAAAAAAAGUAAUUUUUAACAAAAAUAAAAUUAAAAUUUAAAAAAAUACGAUUUCAACCACGUUUUCAAAAACUAUUUUUUUCUCUUGAUUUCUACCCCAAGAAAUCAAGAACGCUAAUUUCAUUAAACCAGAUUCCAAAGGCCAUAUUUAGAUAAAUUAGAAGAAAGGCCUAUAAACUAGCCUAACAGAUCAUACCCAGAGAAGCAAAAGCCAGAAACAAUCUAGCUCAAAUUUUUUUAUUAAAUAGACUUGUUAACAUUUUUUUAUUUAUUAGCAUAAAUAAUUUUAAAUUUAUUUAAUUAAAUAUAUAUAAGACAAGUUUAAAAAAACUAAACACACUGAUUUUUGGCUACCAACCUAGGUUUUGAUAUUAAAACGUGUUUGAGAAUGUAGUAAUAAUUAUAUUUCAAAAUAAUUUUCAUUCCAAGACACAUUAAAUUAAUAUUUUAUUAUUUUUUAAAAAUUAUUUUUGAUAUCAACACAUCAAAAUAAUCAAAAAAUAUAAAAAACAUAUUCAUUUAAAACAAAAAAAAAAAAAUUUUAAAUUUUUUAAAAAACACUUUCCAAAACAUAAAUCACUAACACACCUUAAGUGGCUUGACCCAUAACCUGGGCGCAAAUGCCAUCAUUUGAGCAUAAAAAGGUUUCAACCCCAUGGUGCCUUUUCCUUAUUAUAAAUAUAAAAUAAAAUAAAAUUUAAGUCAAGGAGGUCCAGUCUUAAAUGCUCCAAACAUUAUCCAUGUCUCAAGCUUAUGUGAUCCAAGAAUUCAUAUUUAUUAUAAAAUUAUAAUUUUAUAUGAGUUUUUAUCUUAUGAUUCAAGAAGUUUAUAUUGUAUAUUCAAGAAUUUUAAGUUUAUAGUCAAUUUUAUAAUUCAUAAAAAUAUUUGAUCCCUGAAUUAGUUUUCUAAUUGUUUUGCAUAAAUUCUUAGAAAAAAAAUAUUUUAACAAUAGUUUUCGUGCUAAAAAUGCUAUUCUAUUCGACUUUUAAUUCAAAUUGUAUUUAUAUAGUUAAUUUUUUUUCUCUUUAAUAAAUCCAUUAUUGGAUUUGAAAUUUAUAACUUAUUUUAUAAUUCAAAUUAGAGAUUUGGUUUAUUUAUUAAGUUUUUUUAUUUUUGUAAAAUUGAUUGAAAAAAAAUAGAUCGGGUCACGUCGGUUUAACUCGAAUCAGCAAAAUAAAAGACAUAAGUGAAUAAUAAAUUUCAAUAUUCAAAGUUCAAGACCGGUGGAGCAAAAUCCAACUCUGACCUAGGCUUGUUUGGGAUUGUGGUAGUAGUUGCGGUUCAAAGUGUUUUUCGCUUAGAAAUGCAUCAAAAUAAUAUUUUUUUUAAUUUUUUAAAAAUUAUCUUUGAUAUCAGCAUAUCAAAACAAUCUAAAAUUAUAAAAAAUAAUAAUAAAAAUAAAAUAAAAUUUUUAAAAAAUAUAAUUUACACGGAGUUACCACACACUUGUCCAAUCAACACACAUUCAAUCUCGUUACUUUUUAUACACCUCUUAAUUUUCAAUAGAGCCUUAACCAUUCCUUUAUGCAAGUGCACGCAUUGCCAAACAAUCCUUUAGGAAAAUGAGUUGCCCUCCGACGACUUUCCAUAACUGGCCAGGAUUAAUUUGGACUCUUCGCUGGCGAUAACAGCGAUGGGAAUGAAGACACUUCUCUGCAUCCUUGACCAUUUCAAUUCCGAGAACUCCCCCACCAUCCCAUAAAAAAGUAGUCCUUCUUCUUUGAAGACUUUUCCCAAUUAGUCCUUAUAUUGUUUUUAGGUUUUUUUAAUAUAUUAAUAUAAAAAUAUAAAAAAAUAUUAUUUUAAUAUAUUUUUAAUUAAAUAACAACAUUAAAAAAAUAUAUUUUGCUUUCCAUUACCAAUCACACUAAAAUAAUGUUGUGUCCUUUGAGCCAUUUGGUGAGGAAUGGUGAUGGUGGUUUUUUGUUUUUUUUGUUUAUCCUAUUUGUCUGUCUAAAGAUAAGUUGUGGGGUUGCCAUGUUAAAUUUCUAUUUUUAAUUGAAUAAUGUUGUUUGAAAGAAAAACUUAGAUAAAAAAAAAAAAAAAAUCCUUCGAGUUGGUACUAUAUUUUAUAAUAAUUUAUUUUUUAAAGUGUUUUGUAUUUGAAAAUAUAUCAAAAUAAUAUAUUUUUUGUUUUUUAAAAAUUAUUUUUGACAUCAGCAUGUCAAAAUAAUUUUAAAACAUCAAAAAAAUAUUAAUUUGAAAUAAAAAAAAAAUAAAAAAAAUUUAAAUUUUUUUAAAAAUACUAUUAAAACACAAAAAUAAAUAUAUCUUAACAAAUCACUAAUUAAUUUGUCAAAUUACAUGAGUACCAAUUAAUCUAUCGAAUUAUUUAAAUUUGAACGGAUCAAUGUUUCACUUAGAUGAAAAGCAAACUCGGUUUGAAUCACAUUUCAAAUCAGUAACGUCACCAGGUUGACCCAGCUAGCUGGUUAUUGCAGGUUGUGUUUUUGUACAUAUUAAGGGGCAGGGAAAUGUAUAAUGAAAUGUGCAUGACAACUGGGUUGAUAAUUGAUAAUUUGAACAGUCCAUUUUUCAUUGCAUGUGGGAGAGAAGCAAUGAAGAGAAGAGGACAAGAGGCCAAGAAAUAAAACGAAGACUUAUUGGAUGUUUGGGGCAUAUUAAAAUUUCAUGCUGUGAUUUUAAAAUGUUUUUUAUUUAAAAAUAUAUUAAAAUGAUAUUAUUUUAUUUUUUAAAAAUUAUUUUUGAGAUUAAAACAUUAAAACCAUCUGAAAACAUAAAAAAAUUAACAAAAAAAAUUGAAAUUUAAAGGAACUCUAUUUCAACCGCGUUCCCAAACACUCUCUUCAUGUUUUUUCAAUCACAAAGUUACCAUAAAAAUAAAUGUGUAUUUGGUAUUAUAGUAUAAGAUAUUUUUUCGCUUGAAAAUAUAUAAAAAUAAUUUUUUUUUAUUUUUAACAUCAACGUAAUAAAAUCAUUGAAAAAUAUUUAAAACUCAUCAAUUUAAUGUUAUUUUGAAUCAAACACAUUUUUAAAAACAUACUUAAAUACAUUUUCAAACCCAAAAAUAAAUGAUAUCUUUAUAAUUAUAGUUCAGAAAACAAUCUCCUACAUCUAAGCACAAAAGGUUUCGAAGUUAAAAGUAAUCUUAGUUUUAAUUAUAGUUCAGAAAACAAUCUCCUACAUCUAAGCAUGUAUUGUCUUAACUAUAGAUGUAGUAAGAUGAUUUGAUUUAGUAAAUAUGUAAUUUAAAAUUCGAUUCGAGUUAAGUUUUAAUUUAUACUUAGUUUUGGUUAAGUUUUAAUUUAUAUUAAUUUUGAUAUUAAUAUGGUUAAUCCCAAAUAAUCUUCCUACAAUCCAAUUUACUCUUGUUAAAACUUAACCAAAUCAAAACUAGGAAAUAUCUUUCCUUCUAAAAAAAAAAAAAAGGUUUUGAAAAUCCAGAUUGAUCCUCUAACUCAUAAAUUAACCAAGUGACUUGAGCUCUUUUCGAGAUUUUAAGAUUAGAUCCCAGGCCAGUUCUGACUACUAUAAUCUCAAGUGACUGGCCCAAUUCAAAAUCAUGUUUUUGACGUUUCUCGUUGGAUCAAAGUGGGCUACCCUUUGUUCCUGAAUGAUGAAAGCAAUUAGUAAAAGCUUCUGAGCCAAGAAACAUCCAACUAGCUUGAGCACAUCUGGAAGAUUUAGUCUCUGUAUUAUUUCACUUCUCUGAAUAAUUUUUCAGGUUCCUUUUGCUGUUAUAUAAAAAUUGCUGUUUCUCAUGAGUCAAUAUCCAUUCUAUGAAAUUCUAGCGUUAGAGAGAGGUAAAAGUUUACACUUUGUAUACCAUGAAGUAUAACGCUAAGAGAUAAACAUCUCCAUGCCGGAUUUGUUUGAUUUAAGAGCAGUGAUGACCCUUGAAAGAUUGCUCUAUAAAACAAUGUCCGGUCAUCUUUACAACUUAUUUUCACAAUCCUUCGCCGGCCCGCUGAAGAACUCUUUGAAGCUCAUCUGCCAUCCCUUGUAAGAGAACUGGUUUUCGGAUCAUUCCAUUCAUUCCCAUCUGCAGGCA